UCGGCUAUAGUAUAUCGGAUAGUAUGCCAGUCUGUCACAUUGGAGAGCCGGGUUCAACUCCCGGUAGCCGAG